rnacentral:rRNA from 1 species
AUUGAACGCUAGCGGGAUGCCUUACACAUGCAAGUCGAACGGAGUGGCGAACGGGUGAGUACUGUAUCGGAACGUGCCCAGUAGCGGGGGAUAACUACGCGAAAGCGUAGCUAAUACCGCAUACUAUUUGAGCGGCCGGUGUCGGAUUUGCUAGUUGGGGGGGUAACGGCUCACCAAGGCGACGAUCCCUAGCUGGUUUGAGAGGACGACCAGCAACACUGGGACUGAGAAAAGGCCCAGACUCCUACGGGAGGCAGCAGUGGGGAAUGUUGGACAAUGGGGGAAACCCUGAUCCAGCCAUCCCGCGUGUGUGAUGAAGGCCUUCGGGUUGUAAAGCACUUUUGGCAGGAAAGCGGUACCUGCAGAAUAAGCACCGACUAACUACGUGCCAGCAGCCGCGGUAAUUC